rnacentral:rRNA from 1 species
CCUACGGGUGGCAGCAGUGGGGAAUAUUGGGCAAUGGAGGAAACUCUGACCCAGCAACGCCGCGUGAAUGAUGAAGGUCUUCGGAUUGUAAAGUUCUUUUCGAAGGGAAGAAGAAAGUGACGGUACCUUAGGAAUAAGCCUCGGCUAACUACCUGCCAUCGGCCGCGGUAAUCCGUAGGAGGCAAGCGUUCUCCGGAAGGAAUGGGCGUAAAGGGGGCGUAGGGGGUUUGACAAGUUGGUAGCGUAACUACGGGGCUCAAACUAGGCACUACUACCAAAACUGUCGGACGAGAGUGCAGGGGGGGCAAAUGGAAUUCCUAGUGUAGCGGUGGAAUGCGUAGAUAUUAGGAGGAACACCAGUGGCGAAGGCGAUUUGCUGGACUGUAACUGACACUGAGGCACGAAAGCGUGGGGAGCGAACAGGAGUAGAUACCCCAGUAGUC